rnacentral:rRNA from 1 species
ACGCUCGACACCUACGGGAGACAGCAGUGGGGAAUAUUGCACAAUGGGGGAAACCCUGAUGCAGCGAUGCCGCGUGAAGGAAGAAGUAUCUCGGUAUGUAAACUUCUAUCAGCAGGGAAGAAAAUGACGGUACCUGACUAAGAAGCCCCGGCUAACUACGUGCCAGCAGCCGAGGUAAUCUGAGCGGGCUGGCAAGGC